rnacentral:rRNA from 1 species
UACAGAGGGUGCAAGCGUUGUUCGGAAUCACUGGGCGUAAAGGGCGCGUAGGCGGCCUGGCAAGUCGGUGGUGAAAGCUCGGGGCUUAACUCCGAGUCGGCCAUCGAUACUGCGAGGCUCGAGUCGACUAGAGGCAGAUGGAAUUCCGGGUGUAGCGGUGGAAUGCGUAGAGAUCCGGAAGAACACCGGUGGCGAAGGCGGUCUGACUGGGGUCGAA